AAUCUUUUUAUUUUUUUUUUUUUUUUUAAACGUGCGUUUUAGAAAGGUAAAAACGUGAUAUUUCGGUUGGCUGAAACGAAACAGAAAAUUUCGAAUUCCUCCCGCGAAACCCCUCCUCCCUCGGCCCCGCGUCACCUUCCUCCGCCCAGCGCCACCGGCGACGCCGUCUCUCUCCCCAGCGACACCGAGCGACGCUACUUCAUACACGAAAGAGGAGCCACUGCGUGGAAAUCAUUGAAAGGAGCAAACAGUUGGAGUGCGAAGACCCUCGUCCCUCGCCGCCGUCGUUGAUCAUACGGAGGUAAAACAUUUUCAGACCAGUGAACUUCCAUAUGGUUACGUUCAUUUUGUGUACUGGGAGAGGUGAGUUUUGGGUUUUUUCAGAUGAAUAUUUUGGAUUAGGGCAUGGAAAAAAAAAAUCAGUUUUUGCAUGGUGUUUGACCUCUGGUUUGGACCUCUGUUUUCAAGCAUGUCAUUCAUACAUUGUUUGAUUGAAGAUGAUUAUUUGUAUUUCGAAUCAAUUUUUUGCAUGUUUUUCAUACAUUCUUAAUCGUGUGUUGUGCCUUUUACAAGGUUAGUACUGCUAGCUGGGUCUUCUGAUAGUGCAGAGUUUUUGCAUUGUAAGGAAAAUGCAUGCAUCAUUAGAUAAAAAAAUGGGAUGGUGUUGGUUAAACAGUGAGAAAGGCUAAGGAAAGAAGGAAUAACACAAAGGAGGUUAACUGGUGACAAGCAGAAUACUGCCAUGCUGAUUGCACAAUACUGCAAUUUUGUACCCCCAGCCAACGAAUAUGUGAGAAGUUGGAUUGCAGAGGAACGUGGGCUUGCUUCAUGGUUGAUAGUUAUCCAGAAGUUGUCCAGGAGCUGCACUGAACUGAAGAUUUAAAAAUUGUUACCCUAAAUAUUUUGAAUGCUUGAUAUAAUGUCCAUCAAGUGCGAUGUGCCUGGUGUUCUUCAUUUGUAUAUCUUUCAUUUUAAGAGAUGAUGAGGGGAAUUUAUUGUACAGUCCAAUGGAUAUGUAUGCAAAGCUUUCUUGUAUGGCACUUGAAAAUGGAGCCACACUUAAUAGCUGAGAGUGUACGGGGUAAUAUGUUGAAUGACUUAUAGAUUUAA